UACAGAGGGUGCGAGCGUUGUUCGGAAUUACUGGGCGUAAAGAGUGUGUAGGCGGUGCUCUAAGUUCGGUGUGAAAUCUCCUGGCUUAACUGGGAGGGUGCGCCGGAAACUGGAGUGCUCGAGCGUGGGAGAGGAAAGCGGAAUUCCUGGUGUAGCGGUGAAAUGCGUAGAUAUCAGGAGGAACACCUGUGGUGUAGACGGCUUUCUGGACCAUAGCUGACGCUGAGACACGAAAGCGUGGGUAGCAAACAGG
rnacentral:rRNA from 1 species